rfam:Gossypium raimondii chromosome 1, whole genome shotgun sequence.
AGACCAUGAUAGGGGCACUUACACAAUAAUAUCUUGAAAUGUUCCCAUGCCUCGUACAGUGUCUCCCCUUCGAGUUGUCGAAAAUUUGUAAUAUCCAUCCACAGUUU